rnacentral:rRNA from 1 species
GACGAACGCUGGCGGCGUGCCUAAUACAUGCAAGUAGAACGCUGAAGGAGGAGCUUGCUUCUCUGGAUGAGUUGCGAACGGGUGAGUAACGCGUAGGUAACCUGCCUGGUAGCGGGGGAUAACUAUUGGAAACGAUAGCUAAUACCGCAUAAUAGCAGUUGUUGCAUGACAACUGUUUGAAAGGUGCAAUUGCACCACUACCAGAUGGACCUGCGUUGUAUUAGCUAGUUGGUGGGGUAACGGCUCACCAAGGCGACGAUACAUAGCCGACCUGAGAGGGUGAGCAGCCACACUGGGACUGAGACACGGCACAGACUCCUACGGGAGGCAGCAGUAGGGAAACGUCGGCAAUGGACGGAAGUCUGACCGAGCAACGCCGCGUGAGUGAAGAAGGUUUUCGGAUCGUAAAGCUCUGUUGUAAGGGAAGAACGAGUGUGAGAGUGGAAAGUUCACACUGUGACGGUAUCUUACCAGAAAGGGACGGCUAACUACGUG